rnacentral:rRNA from 1 species
GACGAACGCUGGCGGCGUGCUUAACACAUGCAAGUCGAACGGUAAGGCCCUUCGGGGUACACGAGUGGCGAACGGGUGAGUAACACGUGGGUGAUCUGCCCUGCACUUCGGGAUAAGCCUGGGAAACUGGGUCUAAUACCGGAUAGGACUCCUGGCUUCAUGGUUGGGGGUGGAAAGCUUUUGCGGUGUGGGAUGGGCCCGCGGCCUAUCAGCUUGUGGGUGGGGUAAUGGCCUACCAAGGCGACGACGGGUAGCCGGCCUGAGAGGGUGACCGGUCACAGUGGGACUGGGAUACGGCCCAGACUCCUACGGGAGUGAGCAGUGGGGAAUAUUGCACAAUGGGCGCAAGCCUGAUGCAGCGACGCCGCGUGAGGGAUGACGGCCUUCGGGUUGUAAACCUCUUUCAGCUAUGACGAAGCGCAAGUGACGGUAGUAGCAGAAGAAGGACCGGCCAACUACGUGCCAGCCGCCGCCGUAA